GCCGGGAUGGCGGAAUUGGUAGACGCACAGGACUUAAAAUCCUGUGGGCAUUUAUGCCCGUGCCGGUUCGACUCCGGCUCUCGGUA
rnacentral:tRNA from 2 species